AUGCAGGUAAAGUUACAAUACAGCUGUUGAGUGCUGUUUUGUCGUUCCCCCUGCACAAAGUAACUCGUUUCUUACUAUCCCUGUUUGUCUUGUUAUCACGGCUAACAGGGACGCUUAGUCACGAACAU